UGGAUCUCUUAACUCAUGAUCCAUGUGAAAAAAAAACUUGGACUCGGCUACACCAGCUCUGCAGGGUGACCAAUUCUUUCCAGCCGUUUCAUGCCCAGUAGUUUCUGAAGUGGUUUGAUCUUGAAGCGUGGAAGUUUCAUUGACAUCCCCCACACAGCUGAGGGUUUGCUCAUUUUGCAAACAUGGAAACAGUCUUCUGUAAAUAUGGCAGGCCAGACACCAUCCAUUUUCUAUAAUGAGGACAUUUUAUUUAUCCAUCUAAGUACUUUCACCAGUACAGUCCCAUUUCCAUGACUAUUUUAGGAUAAGUAUGAAUACUCUCUGGAUUCCUCUGCUUAGUAAAAUUAGUGAUGUAAAUUCUGAAGACUUCAGCUGCUAUAGAAAUGUGCCUCAUACUUCACUAUCAUCUAUAGGUGUACACUGUCACAUUCUCACUUCAGAAACAAGAUAUGGAACUCUCUCUUCAAACCCACCAACAAUCAAAAUCUCUUGAAGUUUUACACAUUUUGUCACAGGAAGAGAUCCUUCAAGCAUCAUGCAAGGAGCUGGUGCCAGAGGAAAAUAAAAACUUCUCAGAAGAGGUCGUUCACUCAGAUGAAGCAUUGUAAUAUGACUUACAUACACCCCACCAACAUCAGACAAACAGAUAUUGUCUGGCUCUUUAAGACAACUUGUCAUAUGGUGAGCAGAAGAACUGUGUCAGAGAUAGAUUCAGCAGUGGAAAGGAAGGCAAAGGACACUCCAAUACCUGUUCAGCCAGUUAUAGAUGUAAAACCUAGUGAGUUAAUAUUGUAAAGGAUUAUUUUGCCACAGCAGAAGAUACUGUGUGAGAUUCUUGCAGCACCUUCAGAGUCACUUAGCACCACUGGAGACUGCAGAAACCAUCAAGAUAACCAAUUUGCCUGACUGACUAUUAUUCAGUCAAAAGCCAUGAUGACUCAGGUCUUUGUGCUAUGUCUACCUCUAUGUAGAGAAUGGCCACUUGCAUGGAGUAUCAGAUACAAGAGAAGAGAAGAAAAGCAAUCGAAUUAAGCGAAAGGAAUAAAUUGGUGACUGUGAGAAUAGUUCAUGCUAGGGAUGGGGAUGGUCAUAGUGGGUUCAGUUGUGGUUGUCACAUAGUUGACCUACCUCAGAU